UGGGGAAUAUUGGACAAUGGGCGCAAGCCUGAUCCAGCCAUGCCGCGUGAGUGAUGAAGGCCCUAGGGUUGUAAAGCUCUUUCACCGGUGAAGAUAAUGACGGUAACCGGAGAAGAAGCCCCGGCUAACUUCGUGCCAGCAGCCGCGGUAAUACGAAGGGGGCUAGCGUUGUUCGGAUUUACUGGGCGUAAAGCGCACGUAGGCGGACUAUUAAGUCAGGGGUGAAAUCCCGGGGCUCAACCCCGGAACUGCCUUCGAUACUGGUAGUCUUGAGUUCGAGAGAGGUGAGUGGAAUUCCGAGUGUAGAGGUGAAAUUCGUAGAUAUUCGGAGGAACACCAGUGGCGAAGGCGGCUCACUGGCUCGAUACUGACGCUGAGGUGCGAAAGCGUGGGGAGCAAACAGG
rnacentral:rRNA from 1 species